GGUCCGGUGGCUCAAUGGUAGAGCGUCUGACUACGAUUCCAUCUGGUUAUCAGGAGGUUGCAGGUUCGAGACCUGCCCGGAUCG
rfam:Magnaporthe oryzae 70-15 chromosome 3, whole genome shotgun sequence.